rnacentral:rRNA from 1 species
CCGCCUACGGGAGGCAGCAGUGGGGAAUAUUGCACAAUGGGCGAAAGCCUGAUCCAGCCAUGCCGCGUGUAUGAAGAAGGCCUUCGGGUUGUAAAGCACUUUCAGCUGGGAGGAAGGGCAGUAAGUUAAUACCUUGGUGUUUUGACGUUACCAACAGAAUAAGCACCGGCUAACUUCGUGCCAGCAGCCGCGGUAAUACGAAGGGUGCAAGCGUUAAUCGGAAUUACUGGGCGUAAAGCGCGCGCAGGUGGUUCAGCAAGUCAGAUGUGAAAUCCCCGGGCUCAACCUGGGAACUGCAUCCAAAACUGGCGAGCUAGAGUCUGGUAGAGGGGGGUGGAAUUUCAGGUGUAGCGGUGAAAUGCGUAGAUAUAGGAAGGAACACCGGUGGCGAAGGCGGCCCCCUGGACGAAUACUGACACUCAGGUGCGAAAGCGUGGGGAGCAAACAGGAUUAGAUACCCUGGUAGUCCACGCCGUAAACGAUGUCGACUAGCAGGUGGGAUCCUUGAGAUGUUAGUGGCGGAGCUAACGCG